rnacentral:rRNA from 1 species
CCCGGUAGUCCUAGCCGGUUAACGAUGGAUGCUGGGUCUGGGGGGUAUAGAUCCCCUCCGUGCCGAAGCUAACGCGUUAAGCAUCCCGUCUGGGGAUUACGGCCGCAAGGCUUAAACUCGAACGAAUUGACGGGGUCCCGCACAAGCAGCGGAGCGUGUGGUUUAAUUCGAUGCUACACGAAGUACCUUACCUGGGCUUGACAUGUAGGUAGUAGUGAAGCGUAAGCGGAACGACCCUUCGGGGAGCCUACACAGGUGCUGCAUGGCUGUCGUCAGUUCGUGCCGUGAGGUGUCGGGUUAAGUCCCGUAACGAACGCAACCCUUGCCACUUAGUUACAUGUGUCUAAGGGGACUGUCCGGGACAACUGGGAGGAAGGUGGGGAUGACGUCAAGUCAGCAUGGCCUUUAUGUCCAGGGCUACACACACGCUACAAUGUCCGGUACAAUGGCUCGCCAAGCCGUGAGUCGGAGCCAAUCCCCCAAAGCCGGUCUAAGUUCGGAUUGUGGGCUGCAACUCGCCCAUAUGAAGCUGGAGUUGCUAGUAACCGCGCGUCAGCAAUAGUGCGGUGAUACGUUCCCGGGCCUUGUACACACCGCCCGUCACGUCAUGGAAGCUGGCAACACCUGAAGCCAGUGAGCUAACCCGCAAGGGGGCAGCUGUCGAAGCUGG